CCUACGGGCGGCUGCAGUGGGGAAUAUUGCACAAUGGGCGCAAGCCUGAUGCAGCCAUGCCGCGUGUGUGAAGAAGGCCUUCGGGUUGUAAAGCACUUUCAGCGGGGAGGAAGGCGUUAAGGUUAAUAACCUUGGCGAUUGACGUUACCCGCAGAAGAAGCACCGGCUAACUCCGUGCCAGCAGCCGCGGUAAUACGGAGGGUGCAAGCGUUAAUCGGAAUUACUGGGCGUAAAGCGCACGCAGGCGGUCUGUCAAGUCGGAUGUGAAAUCCCCGGGCUCAACCUGGGAACUGCAUUCGAAACUGGCAGGCUAGAGUCUUGUAGAGGGGGGUAGAAUUCCAGGUGUAGCGGUGAAAUGCGUAGAGAUCUGGAGGAAUACCGGUGGCGAAGGCGACCCCCUGGACAAAGACUGACGCUCAGGUGCGAAAGCGUGGGGGGCAAACAGGAUUAGAUACCCUUGUAGUC
rnacentral:rRNA from 1 species